GCCAGCAUGGUAUAGUGGUUUGAAUGUUGGAUUAAGACUCUGGAGGCCAGGGUUCGAUUCCCAGCUUGACC